UGCUUAACGCCUUCUUCCAGUAAACUGAGAGCAAGUUCCAACAUCGGUGACUCAUUGAGAAGAUGGUACAUCAGACUAAAGCCAGGUGGCUUAUAAGCUAUGAUUUCUUCUCCUAAAUAAGACAGUCCGUAAGAUGAAUAAUCAUUCUCCAAGCUAUACAUGCAUACCUGAGUAUAUUCCAAUGACUGCCAAAGUGAAGCAGCAAUUUCAGGAGACUUUCCAAAAGCUGCAAGUGUCUUCAGGAGCUCGGCUUUGAGAACCGGGGGAAUACUGCACUGCAGGAGUCCCAGAAUCACCACCACAGGCGUCCACUGAGGAUGUUCACAAAGGGCCAAGCGAGCAUUUUCACUCUGAGAUUUGAAGACGAAAUUUAUUGUAUUUAUUUACCUAGGACUUUUGUUUUAUGAGAGUGGCUUUCGCUAUGUUAUGUA